rnacentral:lncRNA from 1 species
CUCUUUACCAGCUGAUUGGCUUGGCGGCCUCCACACGCGCCGCACCACCUGCUCCCUCCUUUCUCAUCCUGUUUUGUGGUUCCCUUGUUCCGGAGGGCGUUGCCGAUUGACAUUCGUAUGCAGUUUUGUUAAAACAAAAAGGGGGAGAUGCCUGGGGCAACGCGCACCAGAAGACGACUAGGAGCAGCAACAAAGCACUCCCUCAGCGUGAGAAGCCCUGGGAAACUGUGCCCAACAGGAAGAUUUGAGUCAGCGCUAAGACGGGCAGGCGCCCGCGAGCCAUCCGAGUGCAGACAUUGAAACCAGGGCAAGGACGUGAGAGAGGGAAGACAAUCUCAAUGCAGAGCGUGGCUUGCAGCAACGCAGCAAAGCAACUUCAGUCUGCAAACACAGCUAUAUUCUCACAGAAUAAGGCAUACAGGAGAGGAUGAAAUAUGAAACAACAAUCCUGCUUCACUGCACGCAAGGAGUAUCCACUUGGAAAAAAAUAUUCAGCGAUAAGAAAUUCUGAGAAUGACACUCUUUGAUUUACUGUUAAUGAGGAAAGUCUACAACAGAGGAGAAUGGGUUUGUGCUGAUAUAGCCUUCCUGAAGAACACCUUUUGUGUUUGGAAUAGCUCGUCGUCUUUGAAAAUAUUCUUACUUUUUCAUCCUUGGAAAAUGCCAGAGAGUUAUCAGCUGUAGCAUGAUGUCCUGGAUGUCUAAAGCAACGGAACAAAAUUUUUACAUUCAGGAAGACUGAAGAAGCCAUAAGUUGUGUCACCUCCUUCACAUUGGGUAAGAUCAAUGAUGCUGCAUAAUGCCAGCCAAGCGAUUUCACUAAGUGACAGGUGACAACACUUGAAUAACAACGAAUUUCUUGGCAAAUACACAGUAAUGAAAUACGUGGCAAAAAUCUAGAUUGCUACCUUUGUAUGCAAUGUGAUUAGUUAGGUAUGUAUUGUGACUACUUUGUGUCAGGGCAGUGUGCCUAAGUGAUAAUUAGAAGAUUAAGUUGUGGCUCAAAUGACUUUGCUGAGUGAUGAGCUAUUAAGCUGAUUAAUAACAAAUAACGUGGCAUUAUUUGUAAUAUCAUAUGGUAAGAAACAUGAACAAAUUUGAUGCAACAUGUAAAACUGGGGAUUAUACACAUGACACAUAAAAAGAUCACUUGUCUUCUUCCCUACAUAAACUCUCUGAUAUGGUAAAAUAGAAUAUAUAUUAGUUCUAAAGCAUUACUAAAUCUUUUAUUUUCAAAUUAGCAAAGAGAAAAUAAAAAGAAGAAAGGAAAAGAAAAGACUAUUUCC